rnacentral:lncRNA from 1 species
ACCGUCAAAACCCUCUCCUACGUGAAAGAAUUGUAUAACAUAAUCAUGAUGUUGUUUAUGUACAUUGCACUAUUAUACCGGGCACUUAUCGAAGUUGCAUAUGUGCAUUCCAAAGUCUCAUGGAAGCCACAUUAUAUGAAGACCUAUGACGUGAAUUACUUUGGAAGUAAAAGAAGAGUAAAUUUACUAUAACUGGCCCAAGCAAUACAAAGAAGCUCGGAUCUUUUGGGAUCCAUCUCUCGGAUGAACUGGUUCAUCAAUGAAAGUUGCGCCGGCUGGCAGAGCACCUUCCAUUUGCAGGCCAUUCCAAUCACCUUGUCACAUAUACCAUCAAUGCUUCGCAUGUAUUUUCACUUGAAACAAAGAGAGUUGCGGAAUUUCCAUAGGGCCCACAAAACUGAGUUGGAUAGCAUAUUAUGAACAUAAUAUUAUUUGGACUAAUCCACCAACCGCUCAUAGAUUGAAAGCCAUGGCCCAUCUGAAUGGCAGAGAAGAGGCCCCAAAUCUGUCACACAAUAAAUAAAAAGGUGAUGUACGAACUCUGUGUCAAUAAUGAAGAUGCAUGUUAAAUCAUCCACAUGUUAUCACGGGUUUAGCUAGAUUAUCACGGGUUAAGAGUUUUUUAUUAGCAAGAAGCCAUAUCUUCCAAGUUUUAAAUUGGGAUGGACAGAGGGUUAGAAUAAAUAAUGUUUCUUUUUGAACAUUAUAAACUUUACUCCUCAAACCAUUGACAUAUCGUUUACAAUGUGAAGAAGAAUAGAGUCAGGGAUAGUAGAGUCCCAGAGUUCAGAAUGAAUUCGAAAUAAAAGAAAAUUUGGCUAAGCUAUCAGCAACCAUAUUAGUUUCUCCGCAAUAAUAACUUUAGUCAAUACUGGCAAAAUCCAUAGCGAGUUGAAUACAUUCUGAUAUUACUGCCACAUCAGGACCCAUAUAAUCAUUUGCUCGUGUAACAGCCUCCACCGCAAAUAUGCUAUCUGAUUCGACGAAUACCUUCCUGCGUCCAAUUCUCCCUGCUAGGUACAGGCCAUUCCGAAUAGCACUCAACUCUGCUGAUUCUGCACUGCGAACAUGGGGCAGAACCCAAGUUGUUGCCGAAAUAAAAUUCCAUUUACGGUCUCUUGCCACCGCUCCCCUGGAGCCAGAGAGUGUUUCCUCAGUCCUGCAAGAUAGUUUUGAGUGAGUAUCAUCCGCAAACAGCAGGUGAGUAACCGUGGGGCCAGUGCUCCCAAAAGAAAUCCCUUUUAUAUCGGCCAGUACUCUGCGCCGGCGCACCAGCGCGAGUUUCGGCCGGUCCAACCCGAGCCGCUCGAUCUGGACGUGCGGGACCGUCUGAUCUGUCCCGCAUCCCCCUUCGUCAUCCUCCGCACAGGGAAAAAGGGGGAGAAAAAAGCGAGCGCCGCCGCCGCUCGCGGGAUCCCGCACGCUAGCCCCCGCUGCCCUGCUUUGGACCCUCGCUGCUUCUACUUGCCGCCGGCGCUCGCGGCCUAGCCGCUGCUGCCGAAGCAAAACAUCACCCGCCUUCACCACCACCGGCAAAGCAAAAAAUGCCGGUUCCAGCGAAAUCGAAAGACGGUUGAAGCAAUUUUUAGGCUGGUUCCAGCAAAAUCAAAACAAAAACAAAGGGGUGGUAGCAAAACUCCUGAUGCUUUGAGCAAGACUCUGGUAGUAGCAAAAUGGCAACUCCUGUAGUAGCAAAAAUCUAAGACGGUUGCAGCAAAAAAGAAAGCCAUCGCCGCCGUCGACCAACACCGCUGUUGGUGGAUGUAGCAAAAAUUAUCUGCGGUUCCAGCAAAAUCAAAAUAUGAUUGUAGCAAAAAUUGUCUUCGUUUCCAGCAAAAUCAAAGCAUGGUUGUAGCAAAAUCGACUAGAAAAAACAGGCGAUGUCAUGGAGAUGGAUGUAGCAAAAAUUCACAAAACACCAGUAGUAACAAAACCCAAAACGGUUGUAGCAAAAUGGUUCACUGGUUCCAGCAAAAAAUCACCAUGGUAGCAGAUUUGAGGUGAGUGGGUGGUAGCAAAAACAUGGGUUGGUUCCAGCAAAAAAAAACAUGGUUGGAGCAAAAAUCUUGUUGCGGCGGUCAUGGAGAGGAGCGCAACCAGCUGCGGGCGGCCAUGGCGGCGAGCGCUGGUUGCAGCACGCUCCCAGUAAAACGGGGCGCCGGUUGCAGGCUUGCAACUCCGCCGUAAGUGCGUUGUAUCUAGUCACCGUGGUAACACCCGGUGAUGGCUGGUAGUAGCUCCAUUGAUGAGAGGGGUGUUGGGGAGUAGGAAGGGGAGGGAGAAAAAAGUAGUUUAGGGGAGUCCGAUGGUGGCGAGGCUCGCCGGAGCUACAGAUGUGGUGGCGCGGGUGAGAGAUGAGGGUAGGCAGACGAGCUCUGGAGGGGAAAAGAGAAGGGAGAUAAAGAAAAAGCUAUGGAGAUGGAGAUUGUGUGGACAAGCAGUGUUGUUGCCUGCGGAUAAGAACGAGCGGUGGACGUGGGACCGAGACGCGUGGGCGAGCGUGAAGGAAACAGAGCGAGCGCGGACCGGCG